rnacentral:lncRNA from 1 species
AACAUGUCCCAGUCGGGCUGCAUGAACUCGCCGAGGAAGAGCGUGUUGUAGGCGACGGAGGAGAUGUGGACGGUGUGCGACGCCGGGUCGCGCGGGUAGAAGUCGUCGGAGGCGCGCACGACGGCGGUCUGCUUGGCGCUGUAGAGCAUGUCGGUGUUGUGGCACAUGCACGAGAUGCAGCCGUUGUCCGGGAAGUUGCGCGCGACGGAGGCCUCGAGCGCGCGGUGGUAGGCGCGGGUGAGCGCGACGCGGCCGCCGUGCCCGGCGCCGAGGGUCUCCACGAUGUUCUGCACGUCCACCUUGACGCCGUCGACGCCGCAGGCGGCCAGGUAGGCGUGGAGCUCGUCGUAGAAGCGGUGGACCCUGCGCGGGUGCACGAGGCCGAGGCCGAGCACGGAGAGCGAGUCCAUGACGAUGUCCGGCUGGUUGCCCGUGACGCCCGGCGACUGCACCGGGUACGCCAGCGCCGGCUCGUAGUGCUC